UUAGGGUUGUAAAGUUCUUUUGUCAGGGAAGAUGAUGACGGUACCUGAAGAAUAAGCACCGGCUAACUUCGUGCCAGCAGCCGCGGUAAUACGAAGGGUGCUAGCGUUGUUCGGAAUCACUGGGCGUAAAGCGCGCGUAGGCGGCAAUACAAGUCAGGGGUGAAAUCCCACAGCUUAACUGUGGAACUGCCUUUGAAACUGUGUUGCUAGAGUGUCGGAGGGGAUGGCGGAAUUCCUAAUGUAGAGGUGAAAUUCGUAGAUAUUAGGAGGAACACCGGUGGCGAAGGCGGCCAUCUGGACGACAACUGACGCUGAGGCGCGAAAGCGUGGGGAUCAAACAGGAUUAGAUACCCUGGUAGUCCACGCUGUAAACGAUGGGUGCUAGCUGUUUGGGGGUUACCCUCAAGUGGCGCAGCUAACGCGUUAAGCACCCCGCCUGGGGAGUACGGUCGCAGGAUUAAAACUCAAAGAAAUUGACGGGGACCCGCACAAGCGGUGGAACAUGUGGUUUAAUUCGAGGCAACGCGAAGAACCUUACCAGGAUUUGACAUGCCCUUCAUAGGAUCCCCAAAAGGAUCCGUCGGUUCGGCCGGAAGGUGCACAGGUGCUGCAUGGCUGUCGUCAGCUCGUGUCGUGAGAUGUUGGGUUAAGUCCCGCAACGAGCGCAACCCUCAUCCUCUGUUGCUAACAGGUAAUGCUGAGAACUCUGAGGAAACUGCCGGUGAUAAGCCGGAGGAAGGUGGGGAUGACGUCAAGUCCUCAUGGCCCUUACAUCCUGGGCUACACACGUGUUACAAUGGCAGUGACAAUGGGCAGCGAAACCGCAAGGUGGAGCGAAUCCCCAAAAGCUGCCUCAGUUUGGAUUGUACUCUGCAACUCGAGUACAUGAAAUUGGAAUCGCUAGUAAUCGUAGAUCAG
rnacentral:rRNA from 1 species